rnacentral:misc_RNA from 1 species
GAUGAAGAACGCAGCGAAAUGCGAUAAGUAAUGCGAAUUGCAGAAUUCAGUGAAUCAUCGAAUCUUUGAACGCACAUUGCGCCCUUUGGUAUUCCUUAGGGCAUGCCUGUUCGAGCGUCAUUUGAAACCUCAAGCUCAGCUUGGUGUUGGGUGUCUGUCCCCGCCUCACCGCGGGGACUCGCCUCAAAAUCAUUGGCGGCCGGUACGUUGGCUUCGAGCGCAGCAGAAACGCGAACUCGAGGCCCGGCGGAUCGGCGACCAGAAGUCACUUCUUCACAGUUUGACCUCGGAUCAGGUAGGGAUACCCGCUGAACUUAAGCAUAUCAAUAAGCGGAGGA